rnacentral:rRNA from 1 species
GACGAACGCUGGCGGCGUGCUUAACACAUGCAAGUCGAACGGGUCUGCCCUGUUUUUUUCGGGGUGGGUCAGUGGCGAACGGGUGAGUAACACGUGAGUAACCUGCCCCUCACUUCUGGAUAACCGCUUGAAAGGGUGGCUAAUACGGGGUGUUCUGGCUGUGCCGCAUGGUGUGGCUGGGAAAGAUUCACUUUUGUGGUGUUUUGGUGGGGGAUGGGCUCGCGGCCUAUCAGCUUGUUGGUGGGGUGAUGGCCUGCCAAGGCUUUGACGGGUAGCCGGCCUGAGAGGGUGGGCGGUCACACUGGGACUGAGAUACGGCCCAGACUCCUGCGGGAGGCAGCAGUGGGGGGUAUUGCACAAUGGGCGGAAGCCUGAUGCAGCGACGUCGCGUGAGGGAUGGAGGCCUUCGGGUUGUGAACCUCUUUCGCCGGUGAAGAAGGUCCUGCUCUUUGUGGUGGGGUUGACGGUAGCCGGGUUAUGAAGCGCCGGCUAACUACGUG